rnacentral:rRNA from 1 species
GAUGAACGCUGGCGGCGUGCCUAAUACAUGCAAGUCGAGCGAACGGACGAGAAGCUUGCUUCUCUGAUGUUAGCGGCGGACGGGUGAGUAACACGUGGAUAACCUUCCUAUAAGACUGGGAUAACUUCGGGAAACCGUAGCUAAUACCGGAUAAUAUUUUGAACCGCAUGGUUCAAAAGUGAAAGACGGUUUUGCUGUCACUUAUAGAUGGAUCCGCGCUGCAUUAGCUAGUUGGUAAGGUAACGGCUUACCAAGGCAACGAUGCAUAGCCGACCUGAGAGGGUGAUCAGCCACACUGGAACUGAGACACGGUCCAGACUCCUACGGGAGGCAGCAGUAGGGAAUCUUCCGCAAUGGGCGAAAGCCUGACGGAGCAACGCCGCGUGAGUGAUGAAGGUCUUCGGAUCGUAAAACUCUGUUAUUGGGGAAGAACAUAUGUAUAAGUAACUGUGCACAUCUUGACGGUACCUAAUCAGAAAGCCACGGCUAACUACGUG